CCAACGCUGGCAGCACUGAAAAUUUAAACGGAGAAUCGAUCUACGAUACCCCCCAAUCCGACUCUAUGCGCACCGACUGACACAAUCCAUGCGCAAGAUCCGAUGCGUAUCGAAUGUCAGGAUAAAUGUCACUACGGCGAGAGAGUCAAGUAUUUAGCAAGUCAUGUGAACUAGUAAUCGUUCGAGAAGAAUCUACUCCGUGAAUUAAUAUUGAAUUAUCAACCCUUCUUUGUACCUUUCGAAACUAAAUUAGAUAGAAUUCAGUUCCUACCAUUGUUAACACAAUUCGUACCUCUCGGAUAAUCUGUGAAUCUACGGUCGCAAAUCACCACUGUUUGUUGGUAAGAUCCCGUAUCCCUGGGAAGAAUAGUUUGAACGCUGAAACCAAUCUGUUGGGGUCAAAAUACAAAGGAGACCAGUUUCUUAAAGAACUCGGCACCGAAUAACAUAGUGCGAUUCUCUUGAGACCUCCGAAAC